rnacentral:rRNA from 1 species
CCUACGGGGGGCUGCAGUAAGGAAUAUUGGUCAAUGGACGCAAGUCUGAACCAGCCAUGCCGCGUGGAGGAUGAAGGUCCUCUGGAUUGUAAACUUCUUUUAUUUGGGAAGAAACUACCGAUUUCCAUCGGGAUUGACGGUACCAGAUGAAUAAGCACCGGCUAACUCCGUGCCAGCAGCCGCGGUAAUACGGAGGGUGACAGCGUUACCGGGUUUCAAUGGGUUGUAGGUGUGCAUGGAAGGGAGUGGUGAAAUCUCCGGGCUUAACCCGGAAACUGCCAUUGAUACUAUUUGUCUUGAAUACUCUUGAGGUGAGCGGAAUAUGUCAUGUAGCGGUGAAAUGCUUAGAUAUGACAUAGAACACCCAUUGCGAAGGCAGCUCACUACGGAAAUAUUGACGCUGAGGCACGAAAGCGUGGGGAUCAAACAGGAUUAGAUACCCUUGUAGUC